AUGAGUUUAUCGAGCAAUCAAUCCCCAAUUCAAUCAAAAUAUUGUUUUCUCUCUCUCCAUAAACAAAUAGUAUUUUUGAUAUGAU
rnacentral:misc_RNA from 1 species